rnacentral:lncRNA from 1 species
GGAGAUUGAGAAAAUCAACUUGAUAUGAACCUUGAUUUUAUAGUGAUGAGUGUUUGACAAAUGUUGAAAUGGCUUUGACGACAUUUUGGGAUUCAUGAAGCUCUUUUGUAUGUCGCCUGACUUUUUGGUUAUCUUGUGGGAUUCAUCUAGUGGGAGAUUGACAAAUGGCUUUGAUGCAACCUAUAAUUUUUGUUCGGAGCUUGCAUGAUCCCUUAUCAUUUCAAGUGGCCUUGUGUUUGUGUUUACUUGGCUUUUGGGCACUUGAAUGAGUUCUCUUUUGCUUUCAAAUCAUCUUUUGUCAAUGCACUUAUCAAGGGGGAGAUUGAGAGACCAAGUUGAGAAGUGCCUUGGUCUAUUUGUGAUGAGUGAUUGAUUAGAUGAUCUGAGGCUUUACCGGUUGAGUCCAUAUUCCAUAUAUGCUUGAUUAUGCUAACGGCUAACCAGAUGUGUUGUGUUGUGGUGUUUGUACAAAACAUAUCUUGUGCGUUCUGUCUCUUGGAUUGUAAUGUGCAGGUGUAGGAUGCGACAUGGCGGUCGACGACAUGAGGUAAAGGUCAAGCGCCAAAGGUCCAUGCCGAUGCAUUAGGGCUGUGAAGGGUGGACAUGAGUAGGCUUGGAUCAAGGGACCCGAGGAGUCUGGGCGGAGUCAUGGGCGAUCCACAUGGUGCAUGAAAGAGCAAGAGUACAUGGACGGGAUGGAGACGGCGUCGGUCGAGUCAAGUGGGACGGACGCAAGUCGAGUAGGCGGCCUGGGAGCUGGGAGCGAAAGACUUGGAGGCAUCAAAGGCUUGGCGAAGGCUGGACACGCGUUGACAUCGGUGAGUCACGCCCUGCGGGGUGUGCA